UUGUUUCCCGUAUUUCUUCUCUAACAAGUCAAACACUGAGGGAUUCACGGGAUAUUCCAGAGAAUGCCAUGUCUCAAAACACAUUCCUAGGUUUAUGCCGUGCAAACUGGCUUCAUCUAAAACAUCAACUAGGUAGGAGAAGUCCCGGCCAUCUGCAGUUUUGAAGUCUUUCAAAAUGUUUUCACUAUCUUGAAGGAGAUCUGGAGACCCAGUCUCGGAGUCUCCAUCAGUUGAGACACCCAUUUCAGAUCCUUCUGAAUAUGUUUCCUCAGAGUUGGUCUCAAG
rnacentral:misc_RNA from 1 species